rnacentral:ncRNA from 1 species
UUAUCAAGAAAGGCAGAGGGAUCAGGCCCUGUGAAGCCUUGGCAACCAUCAAUAUUGAAAGGUGCCAAAUCCUGCCCUAUUUAAUUAGGGAAAGAUAAU